ACACCCCUUCCUCCACUCAAACAUCCUGCUGGCUGCAACUGUGGACUACAAAUCCCAGAGGCACCUGGAAGCAGGAAAAGGAAGUGAUCAGCAACCCUACAGAGUCUUGCCAUUGUAAGUCUGGACUGCAAAUCCAAGAGACCUCAGGGGCAGCAGGAAGAGGAAGUGAACACACAGCUAGAGAGCCUUGUUCUAGUGCCUCCCGGCUUCUGGCCUGAGCCACUGCAGGCAUGUGUCUACAUUUCUUGAAUCAAAGCAGUCACUGAAGCCAUGAAUUUGAAGGAAACUCCGUGAUUCUCAUGAUGAAUCCCGCCAAACAAUCAGAAGGAAGAAUUCCCAGGCCAUAUUGUUCAGCUGUAGAUGUUGACCUGUUGGAAAAACUUAUUUUACAAAUAAGGCUACAAUGCUGACAAGAAAUACACUGUGAAAGCACAAGUUCAACCAAGAGAAGAUCUAUCUGCAUCUGCUUUGGUUCACACCAGUCCUAUUAAUCAUGAGAAGCAGGUACAGAAGAAAGCACAGAUGCUUUUCAGCAGGCAAGCAAGCAGGUGGUAUACUUCCAUUGUACACUAGAGUGCACUAGAGAUGAUCUGGAUGUUGCAGCACUUUGUCAGCCCAGCCAGUCUUUAAAGCAAAUGACAUGAAGUGACCCAAAGCCAAGUCUGAGACUACCUCUCCAGCAUUUACAGAGGCCCAAAUUUAAUGGGACUUAGAAAGACCAUCAACAAUGAUGUUUAGGAAUAGAACACUUUUCCACAGUGCAUUUGCAUCACACUGCUUUAAGGUUACAUACAAAAAUAUCAUUUUAAAAGAUGCUUUAAAUUGGUGGUCAUCAUUCUUUAGACUCAAGACACCCUUUGGAAGACACCAGCUCUUAGUUUUCACUCAUUUGGGGGUAUGGAAAAUGAAUAGAGUAAUUAUUUUCUUGCAAAGAACUCAGAAAGACUACAACAGGUCAGAAUGUCUUUAAAACUCUGGGUUCCUAUGUGAAAGCUCCGGGGUUAUCUUAUGAAUCAUGUGUAGGUCUUUGCACACUUAACUGGGUGCAUCUUCAUGUGAAAUUAGAGCAGCUGAAUAAACUCCAGCACAGUUUGCACUGGAGUUUAUUGCUCCUGGGUGCAAGGUUUAUACGUGAGCCCAGGACCACAGCACACUAAUCAGGGGCACCCUGCUGUGGCACCCUGGUUUAAAAUCACUGCUUUAAUCUAACUUUCUAGCUAAACUGUAAGAGUUCUUCUUUAGCUAUUGUUGGCUCAAAACACACUCUGCUUAUGCCCAUGAAUUUGGUAUGCUUGUCACUAGCAUUAUAAAACUCAGCAACAGUAAUUUACAGUGAGUUAUAUCCUGAUUAUAUCCAGUAAAGGAUUUGCAUACAUACAAAUAAGGCAUGCGG